UUUGUUGGGCAUAUCUGGGCAGCAGAGCUGUGUUCUUGAUGAUUGUUAUUGCUUUUUCAAGGAUACCAAUUGAAGGCAGCAUAACCAAUUUUAUACGGAUGAAGAGGUUGAGCACUGUUAUAAAGAAUUUUAUGAGGAUGUGCACACAGAGUUCUUGAAGUAUGGGGAAAUAGUGAAUUUCAAGGUGUGUAAGAAUAGUUCAUUCCACUUGCGAGGGAAUGUUUAUGUGCAAUAUAAAUCGUUGGAUUCAGCUGUACUUGCUUAUCAUUCUAUCAAUGGCCGCUACUUUGCCGGAAAACAGGUGCUAAAUAUCCUAAAAAUUCGAGCAAGUACUUUUCUAGUUUUAACUUGCAAAUUUGUAGUAAGCCCUAUUUAGCUGAUUUGUUGGCAACUAUGGAUUGUUUUCUUACACAAGUUUAUGAACAUAUUUUUAUGCGUUGGAGGGUAUUGCACCAGUUCUAUCCCAUCUUCUAUAUUGGAUAUCUAGAUCUCUGCAUUUUUUUUUCCGAAAAAUCUGGGUGCGGAAUUUUCAGAUUUGACAAAAAAUGCUGAAUUCUUUGGAAAGAUGAGCUUAGGAAGAGGGAUCUUGGUUAACAUUGGGGCCAUUCCAUUUUUAGCAUCUCAAUAAUGCACUUAUUUGAUACUUGAUAUGAUUUGAUAUAUAAAUCACUUCCUUAUGCUUAUGCAUAGAGCUGUGCAAAUAACAUAAAUAAAUGACAUGAUGUUUUUAUUGGAUGGUCUACAUUGUUUUCAAAAGCAGGAGUGCAGUGCAGAAUGUGUUUGGUGCUGCUGUGCAGUUCUUUUGCGAUUUGUCCUUGCAGCCCCCAGCUUUCCCUGAAUUACUUUUUGGGAAAUCUUCAAAUCAGUUUUGAAAAGCAUCACCAAAUUUGAUCUUCAAAAUUUAGUUGUGCAGAUACACAUUUAUAGUGUUUCAAAAUUUAGCUAUAUUUGUUUCAUGUUUCUUUCAAAGUGGUCAAUUGAUUUCCUGGCUUGUACUAGUAGUAAUUUUUUUUUCCUAGGUAAUGUAUUUUUUGAUCAGGCAUGUACCACAUGAUUCUUAACAGGUACAAUGUGAAUUUGUCAAUGUGACGAGAUGGAAGGUUGCCAUAUGCGGAGAGC
rnacentral:misc_RNA from 1 species